rnacentral:rRNA from 1 species
AACGAACGCUGGCGGCAUGCCUAACACAUGCAAGUCGAACGAGACCUUCGGGUCUAGUGGCGCACGGGUGCGUAACGCGUGGGAACCUGCCCUUAGGUUCGGAAUAACUCCCCGAAAGGGGUGCUAAUACCGGAUAAUGUCUUCGGACCAAAGAUUUAUCGCCUUUGGAUGGGCCCGCGUUGGAUUAGCUAGUUGGUAGGGUAAAAGCCUACCAAGGCGACGAUCCAUAGCUGGUCUGAGAGGAUGAUCAGCCACACUGGGACUGAGACACGGCCCAGACUCCUACGGGAGGCAGCAGUGGGGAAUAGUGGAAAAUGGGCGAAAGCCUGAUCAAGCAAUGCCGCGUGAGUGAUGAAGGCCUUAGGGUUGUAAAGCUCUUUUAACCGGGAUGAUAAUGACAGUACCGGGAGAAUAAGCGCCGGCUAACUCCGUG